UACCAGCACCCCGAGUGGUCGGGACGAUUAUUGGGCCUAAAGCAUCCGUAGCCGGUCCUACAAGUCUUCCGUUAAAUCCACCUGCUUAACAGAUGGGCUGCGGAAGAUACUAUAGGGCUAGGAGGCGGGGGAGGCAAGCGGUACUCAGUGGGUAGGGGUAAAAUCCUCUGAUCCAUUGAAGACCACCAGUGGCGAAGGCGGCUUGCCAGAACGCGCUCGACGGUGAGGGAUGAAAGCUGGGGGAGCAAACCGG
rnacentral:rRNA from 1 species